rnacentral:rRNA from 1 species
CCUACGGGAGGCAGCAGUGAGGAAUAUUGGUCAAUGGGCGCGAGCCUGAACCAGCCAAGUAGCGUGAAGGAGGACUGCCCUACGGGUUGUAAACCUCUUUUAUAAAGGAAUAAAGUGAGUCACGUGUGCCUUUUUUUAUGUACUUUAUGAAUAAGGAUCGGCUAACUCCGUGCCAGCAGCCGCGGUUAUACGGAGGGUCCGAGCGUUUUCCGGAUUUUUUGGGUUUAAAGGGAGCGUAGAUGGGUUGUUAAGUCAGUUGUGAAAGUUUGCGGCUCAACCGUAAAAUUGCAAUUGAUACUGGCAGCCUUGAGUACAGUUGAGGUAGGCGGAAUGCGUGGUGUAGCGGUGAAAUGCUUAGAUAUCACGAAGAACUCCGAUUGCGAAGGCAGCUUACUAAACUGCCACUGACAUUGAUGCUCGAAAGUGUGGGUAUCAAACAGGAUUAGAGACCCUGGUAGUC